UACAGAGGGGGCAAGCGUUGUUCGGAAUUACUGGGCGUAAAGGGCGCGUAGGCGGCCCGCUAAGUCGAACGUGAAAUCCCCGAGCUCAACUCGGGAACUGCGUCCGAUACUGGCGGGCUUGAAUCCGGGAGAGGGAUGCGGAAUUCCAGGUGUAGCGGUGGAAUGCGUAGAGAUCCGGAAGAACACCGGUGGCGAAGGCGGCCUGCUGGGCAGUUGCUGACACUGAGGCGCGACAGCGUGGGAGCAAACAGGG
rnacentral:rRNA from 1 species